UACCUGCAGCUCAAGUGGUGGCCGCUAUUAUUGGGUCUAAAACGUCCGUAGCCGGUUUGGUAAAUGCCUGGGUAAAUCGUGUAGCUUAACUAUACGAAUUCCGGGUAGACUGCCAAACUUGAGACCGGGAGAGGCUAGAGGUACUCCUGGGGUAGAGGUGAAAUUCUGUAAUCCUAGGGGGACCACCAGUGGCGAAGGCGUCUAGCUAGAACGGGUUUGACGGUGAGGAACGAAGCCCUGGGGCGCAAACCGGAUUAGAUACCCGGGUAGUCCAGGGUGUAAACGCUGCUUGCUUGAUGUUAGUUGGGCUCCGAGCCCAAUUAGUGUCGGAGAGAAGUUGUUAAGCAAGCUGCCUGGGAAGUACGAUCGCAAGAUUGAAACUUAAAGGAAUUGGCGGGGGAGCACAGCAACGGGUGGAGCGUGCGGUUU
rnacentral:rRNA from 1 species